rnacentral:rRNA from 1 species
UGCAAACUGCGAAUACCGGAGAAUGUUAUCACGGGAGACACACGGCGGGUGCUAACGUCCGUCGUGAAGAGGGAAACAACCCAGACCGCCAGCUAAGGUCCCAAAGUCAUGGUUAAGUGGGAAACGAUGUGGGAAGGCCCAGACAGCCAGGAUGUUGGCUUAGAAGCAGCCAUCAUUUAAAGAAAGCGUAAUAGCUCACUGGUCGAGUCGGCCUGCGCGGAAGAUGUAACGGGGCUAAACCAUGCACCGAAGCUGCGGCAGCGACGCUUAUGCGUUGUUGGGUAGGGGAGCGUUCUGUAAGCCUGCGAAGGUGUGCUGUGAGGCAUGCUGGAGGUAUCAGAAGUGCGAAUGCUGACAUAAGUAACGAUAAAGCGGGUGAAAAGCCCGCUCGCCGGAAGACCAAGGGUUCCUGUCCAACGUUAAUCGGGGCAGGGUGAGUCGACCCCUAAGGCGAGGCCGAAAGGCGUAGUCGAUGGGAAACAGGUUAAUAUUCCUGUACUUGGUGUUACUGCGAAGGGGGGACGGAGAAGGCUAUGUUGGCCGGGCGACGGUUGUCCCGGUUUAAGCGUGUAGGCUGGUUUUCCAGGCAAAUCCGGAAAAUCAAGGCUGAGGCGUGAUGACGAGGCACUACGGUGCUGAAGCAACAAAUGCCCUGCUUCCAGGAAAAGCCUCUAAGCAUCAGGUAACAUCAAAUCGUACCCCAAACCGACACAGGUGGUCAGGUAGAGAAUACCAAGGCGCUUGAGAGAACUCGGGUGAAGGAACUAGGCAAAAUGGUGCCGUAACUUCGGGAGAAGG